rnacentral:rRNA from 1 species
UACGGAGGAUCCAAGCGUUAUCCGGAUUUAUUGGGUUUAAAGGGUGCGUAGGCGGCUUAUUAAGUCAGUGGUGAAAGCCUGGAGCUUAACUCCAGAACUGCCAUUGAUACUGAUGAGCUUGAGUACAGUUGAGGUGGGCGGAAUGUGUCAUGUAGCGGUGAAAUGCUUAGAUAUGACAUAGAACACCAAUUGCGAAGGCAGCUCACUACUCAAUCAUUGACUCUGAGGCACGAAAGCGUGGGGAUCAAACAGG